CCUACGGGCGGCAGCAGUGGGGAAUCUUGCACAAUGGGGGAAACCCUGAUGCAGCAACGCCGCGUGAGUGAAGAAGUAUUUCGGUAUGUAAAGCUCUAUCAGCAGGGAAGAAAAUGACAGUACCUGUCUAAGAAGCCCCGGCUAACUACUGGCCAGCAGCCGCGGUAAUACGUAGGGGGCAAGCGUUAUCCGGAUUUACUGGGUGGAAAGGGAGCGUAGACGGCUGCGCAAGUCAGAAGUGAAAGCCCGGGGCUCAACCGCGGGACUGCUUUUGAAACUGUGUAGCUAGAGUGCAGGAGAGGUAAGUGGAAUUCCUAGUGUAGCGGUGAAAUGCGUAGAUAUUAGGAGGAACACCGGUGGCGAAGGCGGCUUACUGGACUGUAACUGACGUUGAGGCUCGAAAGCGUGGGGAGCAAACAGGAUUAGAUACCCGAGUAGUC
rnacentral:rRNA from 1 species